rnacentral:ncRNA from 1 species
CAAAGGUUUGGUCCUGGCUUUUUUAUUAGUUGUUAGUAAAAUUAUACAUGCAAGUAUCAUCCCGCCAGUGAGAAUGCCCUCCAACUCAAUAAUGAUUUGCAGGAGCAGGUAUCAAGCACACCUAGAGUAGCUCACAACACCUUGCUCAGCCACACCCCCACGGGAUACAGCAGUAAUCAAAAUUAAGCAAUAAACGAAAGUUUGACUAAGUUAUGCUAACAAUAUCUAGGGUUGGUAAAUCUCGUGCCAGCCACCGCGGUCAUACGAUUAACCCUAAUUAAUAAACCCCGGCGUAAAGAGUGCUAAAAAUUACAAGCAAAAUAAGAUAAAGCCUUAUCCAAGUCGUAAAAAACAAAAGAUAAAAGAAAACUCACAGACGAAAGUAAUCUUAACAAACUUGAACCACCAAAGCUAAGACCCAAACUGGGAUUAGAUACCCCACUAUGCUUAGCCGUAAACAUAAAUACUUAAUAACAAAAAUAUUCGCCAGAGAACUACUAGCUAUAGCUUAAAACUCAAAGGACUUGGCGGUGCUUUAAACCCACCUAGAGGAGCCUGUUCUAUAAUCGAUAAACCCCGAUAAACCUCACCACUUCUUGCUAAUCCAGUCUAUAUACCGCCAUCUUCAGCAAACCCCAAUAGGGAUAAAAAGUAAGCACAACUACUUCCAUAAAAACGUUAGGUCAAGGUGUAACUAAUGAAGUGGAAAGAAAUGGGCUACAUUUUCUUAACUGCAAGAAAACUUUUAACAGUAAUCUUUAUGAAAUCUAAAGAUUUAAGGAGGAUUUAGUAGUAAAUUAAGAAUAGAGAGCUUAAUUGAAUUAGGCCAUAAAGCACGCACACACCGCCCGUCACC